UACUGCAUAACUUGGCCAAGCAUACUCGUCAUUUCUUUGUUCAUUUCUGCAUUUCCUGUGAAACUAGAAUUUUAUUGAGGUUUGAAACUGGUGAUGGUUUCUCAGGAAAGCACAAUGUGUAGAUAUUUGUGAGGAGAAAAGUACUUACUAAUGGCAAAGUAGUCAACCAUUUUCAAGGUAAAAAUUGAUUUCUAUUUAUUUUGCUUCAAAGGUCCUGAAAAAAUAAGCAAUUAUCAUAACGAUUUGUUAUUGAUAAUGGAGGUUUCAUUGACAUUCUCACAAAUUAAAGUUCUCACUGCCUCCAUGAAAGUCCUCAACAUCUAAUUUAUAAGCUUUACCAGUGUUUGUUUUAUUAAGGCUUAGACAUGGAAUUAUUGGAGUUUUAAAUUAAGGGUUCUGGAAAAGAAAGUAUGGUAUGUGUACAAAGCUUUGAGGUCCUGUGCAACACUAAGUUGUUUUUUUUUUUUUU
rnacentral:lncRNA from 1 species